UGAGUAACGCGUAUCCAACCUGCCGUCUACUCUUGGACAGCCUUCUGAAAGGAAGAUUAAUACAAGAUGGCAUCAUGAGUCCGCAUGUUCACAUGAUUAAAGGUAUUCCGGUAGACGAUGGGGAUGCGUUCCAUUAGAUGGUAGGCGGGGUAACGGCCCACCUAGUCUUCGAUGGAUAGGGGUUCUGAGAGGAAGGUCCCCCACAUUGGAACUGAGACACGGUCCAA
rnacentral:rRNA from 1 species